GAUGAACGCUGGCGACGUGCCUAAUACAUGCAAGUCGAGCGAACAGAUGAGGAGCUUGCUCCUCUGACGUUAGCGGCGGACGGGUGAGUAACACGUGGAUAACCUGCCUAUAAGACUGGGAUAACUUCGGGAAACCGGAGCUAAUACCGGAUAAUAUAUUGAACCGCAUGGUUCAAUAGUGAAAGACGGUUUUGCUGUCACUUAUAGAUGGAUCCGCGCCGCAUUAGCUAGUUGGUAAGGUAACGGCUUACCAAGGCAACGAUGCGUAGCCGACCUGAGAGGGUGAUCGGCCACACUGGAACUGAGACACGGUCCAGACUCCUACGGGAGGCAGCAGUAGGGAAUCUUCCGCAAAGGGCGAAAGCCUGACGGAGCAACGCCGCGUGAGUGAUGAAGGUCUUCGGAUCGUAAAACUCUGUUAUUAGGGAAGAACAAAUGUGUAAGUAACUAUGCACGUCUUGACGGUACCUAAUCAGAAAGCCACGGCUAACUACGUG
rnacentral:rRNA from 1 species